rnacentral:tRNA from 1 species
GUGGUUGUGGCUCAGUGGUAGAGCACUUGCCUGGCAUGUGUGAGGCACUGGGUUCAAUCCUCAGCACCACA